rnacentral:lncRNA from 1 species
CUUUCUUCUUUGGGUUAAGGUGGAAGAUGCCACAACUUGUCUUUUACUUUGGAGCGGCUAUUCCAGCACGUCUCUCACCACUGGACUCCUAAAAACCACACUGAAGUAGCUGGGCCCUGAAUCUUCAUGGAGUGUAUCGACCAAUUCUGGAAUCCACAUGUCUUACCAAGGCAUCCCGCCACCUGUACCUGACCACGGGACACCUAAUAUGAAGCCUCCCCUCCAGCUAAUGAUAAUUUUGACUUUCACACUAUAAGGAAAACCAGUGCCUGGAAAAGUCAGAGGGUUCAAACGGCAAGUCAACUGCAGAAUCAAGAAUAGUGAAUGCCCUCUCAGCCUCCUCUGGCAUGGACCUUCUCUGACACAAACCCUGGCCUUGGGAAUAUGGUGACCGACGAUUCCCACAUUCAGGACUCACAUCAAAAGAGAAGCUGCUCGUCAGUUCUACUCCCUUCCCCACAUUUGGUUUAAGAAAGACUUACUUGAAUUCUGCCUUGUCUCCUUUCUGAUGCUGAUGGCAACAAACCAGGGUAGAUCAAGUGGUUAAGAUGCUGUUUGAAGAGACCAUGACUUGAGAUCCCAGUCCUGCCCCGCCUCACUCACUGGCUGGGCUAUCCACUUGAGCUUUCUGGGACUCAGCGUCCUCAUCUAUAAACAGAGUGAGUUGAAUGACAUGAGCUCUUUCUUUUUUUUUUUUUUUUGAGUUGGAGUCUUGCUCAUCGCCCAGGCUGGAGUGCAGUGGUGCGAUCUCGGCUCACUGCAAGCUCUGCCUCCUGGGUUCAUGCCAUUCUCCUGUCUCAGCCUCCCGAGUAGGUGGGACUACAGGCGCCUGCCACAAUGCCCAGGUAAUUUUUUGUAUUUUUAGCAGAGACGGGGCUUCACCAUGUUAGCCAAGAUGGUCUCGAUCUCCUGACCUUGUGAUCCGCCCGCCUCGGCCUCCCAAAGUGCUGGGAUUACAGGCGUGAGCCACCGCGCCCGGCCUGACAUGAGCUCUUUCAAACUCAACAUUCACCUUCCCAGGUAAGGGGGCAGGCAGACAGUAGAAGAGCCUUCACAUACUCUCCUACCAGACUACCACACUUACAGUACCUGUGUUCUUUAUCUUAGAUGCCAUUGACAUUGAGAUAGUCAUAAUGUAAUGAUACAGUCAUUGUCCACAACAUAUUUAAUAUUUCCUUUAUCCUCCCUGUCAUCCAGGACACUAUACAAACAUAAGGGCAGGUAACAACCUUAUGUUCCAGUUUCAAAGACAAGUAUGCUAAGGGAGACUGGUAGAAGACAUGACAGUUGUUAAAACUUCUAUUUCUCUCCAAGGCUAACUUAAAGAAAACCCUUAGGCUGGGCAAGGUGGCUCACACCUGUAAUUCCAGUACUUUGGGAAGCUGAAGUGGGAGGAUCACUUGAGCCCAGGAGUUCAAGGCCAGCCUGGGCAACAUAGUGAGACCCUGUCUCUACAAAAAAGUAAAAAAUUAGCCAGGUGUGGUGGCAUACAUCUGUAGUCCCAGCUACUUGGGAGGCUGAGGCAGGAUGAUUGCUUGAGCCCUGGAGGUUGAGGCUGCAGCGAGCAAUGGUUGUGCCACUGCACUCCAGCCUGGCCGAGAGAGCAAGACCUUGUCUCAAAAAAUAAAAAAAUAAAAUAAAAUAAAAAGAAAACCCUCAGAUGUUAAUUUUUUCCAACAUAUAAUUAUAAACAUUCCAAAAGUAUAAGAUUAUUCAGAUAUUUAAUUUUCUACUGAGGGACACUAUGGUUCAUUUAACUUUAGAAUCUAUCAUUGGCAAAGAGGUUUAGGGGCCAUCUGGGAGGGGUUUAUGAGCUGUAAAUUGAGUGCACUGAGAGCAAUUAAGCAUUUAAAUUGUAGCGAUGUGUAAAUUUAACAGCUGGUAGGUGUUGUCAAUUGCAAGCUACAGGCCACCUGCUUGGCAGAAAUCUGCAUACAAACUGAAGAAAAUCUAUGGAAUAGUGAAAAGUAGAACCUGGAUUUGGUAAUUUGGAGCAUAAAUUCAGAUGGCACAUACAGCUGAGAACCUUUAAGAUUAAUCUAGAGGUAUGGCAUCUCCUCUAGGAAUGCUUCACGGGACAAAGAUUUGUUAGGCUAUUUAAAAUGUACUUAAAUUACAAGUUAAUUACUCUCACAGUUAAUAGUUACAAGAGAAUCUGACCUUGAAGACUAAUGUAUUUAUCUCAUCAUCGUUUUUUUUUUUUUUGUUUUUUGUUUUUUUUGGUGCUAAAAACAAUGGUUGUUGAAGACUUAGAAGCUUCUAUUUACGUGCACGGUAUUUAUAGAAUUUAUUAAAGUAGUGUCUUUUACCAUGUUCCCAGGAUCCUCCUUAAGGGUUGCCACAAGGGCAAAAAAUAAAAAAAGGGGGGGGGGGAGUUUCUGACAUAUUGAUCUUCUAGCUUUCCAUCAUUGACCAACUUCUUAGUUAAAUACAUGUUUUAAACUCUCUGAAAUAAGGCAUUGAUAAUUGUUGCAGGGGAAAAAGAUCAGGGGAUUUGGAUUAAACUUGGUCUGACCUAUACUUUCUACUCCUCUUUUUCUUUUUCUUUUCUUUUCUUUUCUUUUUUUUUUUUUAAGACAGAGUCUGGCUCGGUCGCCCAGGCUGGAGUGUAGUGCUGCGAUCUCGGCUCACCGCAAGCUCGGCCUCCUGGGUUCAUGCCAUUCUCCUGCCUCAGCCUCCCGAGUAGCUGGGACUACAGGUGCCCGGCUAAUUUUUUGUAUUUUUAGUAGAGAUGGGGUUUCACCAUGAUGUCGAUCUCCUGACCUCAUGAUCGGCCAGCGUCGGCCUCCCAAAGUGCUGGGAUUACAGACCUGAGCCACCCCGCCCGGCUACUCCUCUUUUUCAUCUCAAAAUCUACCCUUCCUAGAUCUGUUGCUUUCUGAGUUGUUGGGUGUUUUUGUUUUACUUGUUUUUUUGAGACAGAAUCUUACUCUGUCACCCAGGCUGGAGUACAGUGUCACAAACUCGGUUCACUGUAACCUCCGCCUCUUGGAUUCAAGCAAUCCUCCUGCCUCAGCCUCAUGAAUAGCUGAAAUUACAGGCGUCACCACCAGGCCCAGCUAAUUUUUGUGUUUUUAGUAGAGACGAAGUUUUGCCAUGCUGGCCAGGCUGGUCACGAACUCCUGGCCUCAGGUGAUUACAAGUGUGAACCACUGUGCCUAGCCUGCUUUCUGAGUUAUUUUUU